ACUGGGGUGGCAGAGCAUGGUAAAUUGCGAAAGGCCUAAGCCCUUUUUACCAGAGGUUCAAAUCCUCUUCCCAGUU
rnacentral:tRNA from 2 species